rnacentral:rRNA from 1 species
UACGUAGGGUGCAAGCGUUUGUCCGGAAUUAUUGGGCGUAAAGAGCUCGUAGGCGGUUCGUCGCGUCGGCUGUGAAAUCCCCGAGGCUCAACCUCGGGUCUGCAGUCGAUACGGGCGGACUGGAGUUCGGCAGGGGAGACUGGAAUUCCUGGUGUAGCGGUGAAAUGCGCAGAUAUCAGGAGGAACACCGAUGGCGAAGGCAGGUCUCUGGGCCGAUACUGACGCUGAGGAGCGAAAGCGUGGGGGAGCGAACAGG